GUUAUCGUUUAUUUGAUAGUACCUUACUACUUGGAUAACCGUGGUAAUUCUAGAGCUAAUACAUGCUAAAAACCCCGACUUCGGAAGGGGUGUAUUUAUUAGAUAAAAAACCAAUGCCCUUCGGGGCUCCUUGGUGAUUCAUGAUAACUUAACGAAUCGCAUGGCCUUGUGCCGGCGAUGGUUCAUUCAAAUUUCUGCCCUAUCAACUUUCGAUGGUAGGAUAGUGGCCUACCAUGGUUUCAACGGGUAACGGGGAAUUAGGGUUCUAUUCCGGAGAGGGAGCCUGAGAAACGGCUACCACAUCCAAGGAAGGCAGCAGGCGCGCAAAUUACCCAAUCCCGACACGGGGAGGUAGUGACAAUAAAUACUGAUACAGGGCUCUUUUGGGUCUUGUAAUUGGAAUGAGUACAAUUUAAAUCCCUUAACGAGGAACAAUUGGAGGGCAAGUCUGGUGCCAGCAGCCGCGGUAAUUCCAGCUCCAAUAGCGUAUAUUAAAGUUGUUGCAGUUAAAAAGCUCGUAGUUGAACCUUGG
rnacentral:rRNA from 1 species